UGCACUGGGGGAAAGGGAGAGUAUCAUGGUUACAGCUGGAUCACCUAAGGCAGAGAGGGAAGGAACCAACAGGUAUAUGAAGAAGACUGUAUUUCCUCCUCAGGAAGAAAAAAUCACCUAUAAAUACAUGAUCUCACUAUGUUGCCCAGGCUGGUCUCAGAGUCAUGACCUCAAGUUAUCCUCCCACCUCAGCCUCACAAAGUGCUGGGAUUACAGGCAUGAACAACUGCACCUGGCCAAUUACAAUCAUUCCAUUGGCUGCAAUAGAUGCUGACACCAUAUUUGUAUAGCCUUCUAGACUAUGAGCCAAUUAAAACUCUCUGCAUUAUAAAUUA